UACAGAGGUCUCGAGCGUUAGGCGGAAUCACUGGGCUUAAAGCGUGUGUAGGUGGAUGCCUAAGUACCUUGUGAAAUCCCACGGCUUUAACCGUGGAACUGCUUGGUAUACUGGGUGUCUUGAGUCACUCAGGGGCGAGCGGAACAAAUGGUGGAGCGGUGAAAAUGCGUAGAUAUCAAUUUGGAACGCCAAUGGUGAAAACAGCUCGCUGGGGGUGCACUGACACUGAGACACGAAAGCCAGGGGAGGCGAACGGG
rnacentral:rRNA from 1 species